rnacentral:rRNA from 1 species
AGUGAACGCUGGCGGUAGGCCUAACACAUGCAAGUCGAACGGCAGCACAGUAAGAGCUUGCUCUUACGGGUGGCGAGUGGCGGACGGGUGAGGAAUACAUCGGAAUCUACUUUUUCGUGGGGGAUAACGUAGGGAAACUUACGCUAAUACCGCAUACGACCUACGGGUGAAAGCAGGGGAUCUUCGGACCUUGCGCGAUUGAAUGAGCCGAUGUCGGAUUAGCUAGUUGGCGGGGUAAAGGCCCACCAAGGCGACGAUCCGUAGCUGGUCUGAGAGGAUGAUCAGCCACACUGGAACUGAGACACGGUCCAGACUCCUACGGGAGGCAGCAGUGGGGAAUAUUGGACAAUGGGCGCAAGCCUGAUCCAGCCAUAGCGCGUGGGCGAAGAAGGCCUUCGGGUUGUAAAGCCCUUUUGUUGGGAAAGAAAAGCAGCAGGUUAAUACCCCGCUGUUCUGACGGUACCCAAAGAAUAAGCACCGGCUAACUUCGUG